rnacentral:rRNA from 2 species
UUUAUGGAGAGUUUGAUCCUGGCUCAGGACGAACGCUGGCGGCGUGCUUAACACAUGCAAGUCGAACGGAAAGGCCUAGCUUGCUAGGUACUCGAGUGGCGAA